UUAGUUAAGAAUUGUUUAUCAAGGAUUUGACCCAGAGAAGUGACGGUUGCUGUGAGUUACGGAUAAUCUGAUAAGCAUGCUGCUUAAUGUGAUUUUAUCUGAUAUAAGUAAUUAAGAAUGACAAGCUCAUUGAAUAGAGGUGGUACCGCGGUUUUCGCCCUCUGU
rnacentral:misc_RNA from 1 species